rnacentral:rRNA from 1 species
ACUGGCGGCGCGUCUUAAGCAUGCAAGUCGAACGGCAAGGCAGGUGCUUGCACCUGCCCUAGAGUGGCGGACUGGUGAGUAACACGUGGGUGACAUGCCGUUUAGUGGGGAUAGCUACUAGAAAUAGUAGAUAAUACCGAAUGUGAUCAAUAUUUAUAGAUGAUGCUGAGGAAAGGAGCUAAGGCUUCGCUAAAAGAUUGGCCCGCGGCCCAUUAGCUAGUUGGUAGGGUAAAGGCUUACCAAGGCGAUGAUGGGUAUCCGGCCUGAGAGGGUGAUCGGACACAUUGGACUGAGAUACGGCCCAGACUCCUAUGGGAGGCAGCAGCUAAGAAUAUUCCACAAUGGACGAAAGUCUGAUGGAGCGACGCCGCGUGGAUGAUGAAGGGCCCGAAAGGUUGUAAAAUCCUUUUACACUGGAGGAAUAAGCAGAGUAGGGAAUGACUCUGUGAUGACUGUACAGUUUGAAUAAGCAACGGCUAAUUACGUGCCAGCCGCAGC